AUUGAACGCUGGCGGCAGGCCUAACACAUGCAAGUCGAACGGUAACAGGAAACAGCUUGCUGUUUCGCUGACGAGUGGCGGACGGGUGAGUAAUGUCUGGGAAACUUCCUGAUGGAGGGGGAUAACUACUGGAAACGGUAGCUAAUACCGCAUAACGUCGCAAGACCAAAGAGGGGGACCCUCGGGCCUCUUGCCAUCGGAUGUGCCCAGAUGGGAUUAGCUUGUUGGUGGGGUAACGGCUCACCAAGGCGACGAUCCCUAGCUGGUCUGAGAGGAUGACCAGCCACACUGGAACUGAGACACGGUCCAGACUCCUACGGGAGGCAGCAGUGGGGAAUAUUGCACAAUGGGCGCAAGCCUGAUGCAGCCAUGCCGCGUGUAUGAAGAAGGCCUUCGGGUUGUAAAGUACUUUCAGCGGGGAGGAAGGGAGUAAAGUUAAUACCUUUGCUCAUUGACGUUACCCGCAGAAGAAGCACCGGCUAACUCCGUG
rnacentral:rRNA from 1 species